rnacentral:tRNA from 1 species
GCCGGGAUGGUCUAAUCGGUAAGGCGUCGCCUCGGGACAGGCGAAGGGUGCGGGUUUAAUCCCCGCUUCUGGCC